rnacentral:tRNA from 1 species
GAGAGAGGCACGCUAGCAACAGAGACUGCUAAUCUUUGCCCCCUUGGUUGAACUCCAAGGCUCACUUG